UACAGAGGGUGCGAGCGUUGUUCGGAAUUAUUGGGCGUAAAGCGCUUGUAGGCGGCUUGUUAAGUCGCGUGUGAAAUCCCCAGGCUCAACCUGGGAAGUGCGCGCGAAACUGGCGAGCUUGAAUGCCGGAGAGGGUCGCGGAAUUCCCGGUGUAGAGGUGAAAUUCGUAGAUAUUCGCAAGAACACCAGUGGCGAAGGCGGCUCACUGGCCCGGUACUGACGCUGAGGUGCGAAAGCGUGGGGAGCAAACAGG
rnacentral:rRNA from 1 species